AUGAACGCUGGCGGCGUGCCUAAUACAUGCAAGUCGAGCGAACGGACGAGAAGCUUGCUUCUCUGAUGUUAGCGGCGGACGGGUGAGUAACACGUGGAUAACCUACCUAUAAGACUGGGAUAACUUCGGGAAACCGGAGCUAAUACCGGAUAAUAUUUUGAACCGCAUGGUUCAAAAGUGAAAGACGGUCUUGCUGUCACUUAUAGAUGGAUCCGCGCUGCAUUAGCUAGUUGGUAAGGUAACGGCUUACCAAGGCAACAAUGCAUAGCCGACCUGAGAGGGUGAUCGGCCACACUGGAACUGAGACACGGUCCAGACUCCUACGGGAGGCAGCAGUAGGGAAUCUUCCGCAAUGGGCGAAAGCCUGACGGAGCAACGCCGCGUGAGUGAUGAGGGUCUUCGGAUCGUAAAACUCUGUUAUUAGGGAAGAACAUAUGUGUAAGUAACUGUGCACAUCUUGACGGUACCUAAUCAGAAAGCCACGGCUAACUACGUG
rnacentral:rRNA from 1 species